AGUGGCGGACGGGUGAGUAACACGUGGAUGACAUGCCCUGAAGUGGGGAACAACUAGGGGAAACCCUAGCUAAUUCCGCAUGUGAACGGUCUUCUUGUAGAUUGUUCAAAGCCGCAAGGCGCUUUAGGAUUGGUCCGCGGUGCAUCAGCUAGUUGGUGAGGUAAAGGCUCACCAAGGCUACGACGCAUAGCUGGUCUGAGAGGACGACCAGCCACAGGGGUACUGAGACACGGACCCCACUCCUACGGGAGGCAGCAGUUAGGAAUCUUCGUCAAUGGGCGAAAGCCUGAACGAGCGAUACCGCUUGAAGGAUGAAGCCUUUCGGGGUGUAAACUUCUGAACUAGGGACGAUAAUGACGGUACCUAGGUAAUAGCACCGGCUAACUCCGUGCCAGCAGCCGCGGUAAUACGGAGGGUGCGAGCGUUACCCGGAUUUACUGGGUGUAAAGGGCGUGUAGGCGG
rnacentral:rRNA from 1 species